ensembl:lncRNA
GUGGGUCUGAGUUUAAUAGGAGCAGCCGGUAGGGAUGUGGCAGUGUCCCAAACGGGGCUUUUUGGGAUGCAGAUAAUUUCUCUGGUACUGUACAGGGGUCUUACAUUAACUCAACCAAGACAGACAUGCCUGUUCUGUUUGGUUUACUAUGUCAAACCAAUUCUACACGGGUUAUUCACUAACUACUGCAUGUGACACAGCCAAGGUAAAGAAUACCUUAAGGAUUGUUGCCAUAGCGCCACUCAACGGACUGUCUCCGGUAUGAUGUAUAUAAACUAUUAUUUAGCUGGAUCAGUAAGGUGAGCUUUUCAUGGUCUCUGUUCCUGUAGGUCAAACCCUUCUUCCAGACUCAAUGGGUUCUACACAGAUGGAACAAUGUAUAGCUAUUGGUUUAGUGACUUGUCAAGGUUUCCCCUGAUUUAAGUCUUCAGAUACAUAAACCUUUUCCUCGCCUCCAGUGUUCUAGACAAGGUUAACCUCUUCACUACCAGCAGCCUGUGUUCUUUCAGUUAUUUUAUUUAAGGAAAUCCUGUUUUAUUCUACAGUAUAUACAUUUGCUUAAUCUUGCACAUUUGAGAAGGCUAACUUAAUGUUGAACUGUACUGAUGUAUAUAAGUGUUUAAUUUUGUCUGUACAUGGGGAAUGAUGUAAUCAAGUCCUAGGUAUGAGGUUAUUUUGUCGUUUAAAGAGUAACAUAUCACGGUAAGUGACAACGGUUCAAUUAAAAGGUGCUACACAAGAAUUAAUUGUAAUUUCAGAAAAUGUCCGUAUCUGCUUUAACAGUGGAAUAAUAUGUAACGGCGACUACCCUGCUAGCGUUUUGAUUGCUGUGGAGUCCUGACUACCAUCUACUGGAAAUCGCUCAGUUUGAAAUAUUUGGGCCAGCUUUAAAAAGAUAUCAGAAUUUAGAUGGUACACAGUGGUUUUUGAAGUGUAGAAAUGUAAACACAUCCAGUCAGAACAGCUUUCCCAUUAUGACAAGCUGCCACUCCGUCAGGUAAGUAAUACUAUUCCACUAUUAGCGCCAGACACUUCCGAAAAUUACGUCACAAAAAUCCUAUUGUGAAGCACCUUAAGACAAACAGGAAAAUCCAUUCUGUCCAUAACUGUAAAUUUUACAAAUUGUAAUAUUUUUACUUCAUAUUGAUGAUCAUGCUUAGUGUAUUUGAAUGAAAUGUUUAAUAUGGAAAUAAAUGCACAUUUACUUCUA